rnacentral:rRNA from 1 species
AGUGAACGCUGGCGGUGGGCCUAACACAUGCAAGUCGAACGGCAGCACAGUAAGAGCUUGCUCUUACGGGUGGCGAGUGGCGGACGGGUGAGGAAUACAUCGGAAUCUACUUUUUCGUGGGGCUUAACGUAGGGAAACUUACGCCAAUACCGCAUACGACCUACGGUUGAAAGUACUGGAUCUUCGGACCUUGCUCGCUACAAUGUGCCGCUGUCUGAUUUGCUCGUUGUCGGGGUAAAGGCCCACAAAGGCGACGAUCCGUAUCUGGUCCGAGAGGAGGAUCAGCCACACUGGAACUGAGCAACGGUCCAGCCUCCUAGGGGAGGCAGCGGAGGGGAAUAUUGGACAAUGGGCGCAAGCCUGAUCCAGACAUCCGGCGUAGGUGAAGAAGGCCUUCGGGUUUUAAAGCCCGUUUGUUGGGAAAGAAGAGCAGCAGGGUAAUACCUCGCUGUUCUGACGGUACCCAAAGAGUAAGCACCGGCUAACUACGUG